UACGGAGGGUGCAAGCGUUGUUCGGAUUCACUGGGCGUAAAGGGUGCGUAGGUGGUGAGGUAAGUCGGAUGUGAAAUCUCCGAGCUCAACUCGGAAACUGCAUUGGAAACUACCUUGCUCGAGGGUUGGAGGGGGGACUGGAAUGCUUGGUGUAGCAGUGAAAUGCGUAGAUAUCAAGCGGAACACCAGUGGCGAAGGCGAGUCCCUGGACAACUCCUGACACUGAUGCACGAAAGCUAGGGGAGCAAACAGG
rnacentral:rRNA from 1 species